rnacentral:rRNA from 1 species
GAUGAACGCUGGCGGCGUGCCUAAUACAUGCAAGUCGAGCGAACAGACGAGGAGCUUGCUCCUCUGACGUUAGCGGCGGACGGGUGAGUAACACGUGGAUAACCUACCUAUAAGACUGGGAUAACUUCGGGAAACCGGAGCUAAUACCGGAUAAUAUAUUGAACCGCAUGGUUCAAUAGUGAAAGACGGUUUUGCUGUCACUUAUAGAUGGAUCCGCGCCGCAUUAGCUAGUUGGUAAGGUAACGGCUUACCAAGGCGACGAUGCGUAGCCGACCUGAGAGGGUGAUCGGCCACACUGGAACUGAGACACGGUCCAGACUCCUACGGGAGGCAGCAGUGGGGAAUCUUCCGCAAUGGGCGAAAGCCUGACGGAGCAACGCCGCGUGAGUGAUGAAGGUCUUCGGAUCGUAAAACUCUGUUAGUAGGGAAGAACAAAUGUGUAAGUAACUAUGCACGUCUUGACGGUACCUAAUCAGAAAGCCACGGCUAACUACGUG